rnacentral:rRNA from 1 species
AACGCUAGCUACAGGCUUAACACAUGCAAGUCGAGGGGAAACGACAUCGAAAGCUUGCUUUUGAUGGGCGUCGACCGGCGCACGGGUGAGUAACGCGUAUCCAACCUGCCCACCACUUGGGGAUAACCUUGCGAAAGUAAGACUAAUACCCAAUGACGUCUCUAGAAGACAUCUGAAGGAGAUUAAAGAUUUAUCGGUGAUGGAUGGGGAUGCGUCUGAUUAGCUUGUUGGCGGGGUAACGGCCCACCAAGGCGACGAUCAGUAGGGGUUCUGAGAGGAAGGUCCCCCACAUUGGAACUGAGACACGGUCCAAACUCCUACGGGAGGCAGCAGUGAGGAAUAUUGGUCAAUGGGCGAGAGCCUGAACCAGCCAAGUAGCGUGCAGGAUGACGGCCCUAUGGGUUGUAAACUGCUUUUAUAAGGGAAUAAAGUGAGUCUCGUGAGACUUUUUGCAUGUACCUUAUGAAUAAGGACCGGCUAAUUCCGUGCCAGCAGCCGCGGUAAUACGGAAGGUUCGGGCGUUAUCCGGAUUUAUUGGGUUUAAAGGGAGCGUAGGCCGGAGAUUAAGCGUGUUGUGAAAUGUAGACGCUCAACGUCUGCACUGCAGCGCGAACUGGUUUCCUUGAGUACGCACAAAGUGGGCGGAAUUCGUGGUGUAGCGGUGAAAUGCUUAGAUAUCACGAAGAACUCCGAUUG